GAAAAGAGAAAGAGGAAGAGGACGAGAGGCAAGAAGGCGACAGAGGGGGGCCCGAGAUGGAAACUUCCAGGAGUUCGUCUCGUCCAAUCCAAGAGUCUCAGGAGGGGAACCAAUGAGCCACCAGGAGAAGGACCAUCCUGCCUGAGAAUCGCACGACGCACUGGGGAGAAACCACAGCCUGACUCACAGUCUAUCGUAAAACAUGUCCACACUUGGGAAAAGACAGGUGAGGCAGAAAGAAAAUCCUUUGCAACCCAUCCAUGCACUCCGGCUGCCCGCGGGGUCUGCCUUGCCACCCACCAGGCCGAGCCGCCCAGCCAGCUAGAGGACGGAUGCUCCAGGCCCCAGCACAGCCCGAGCGCCACCACCCGCCGACCCCUGCACAAAAUGACAGGUCUGACUUGCCAACCACCUACAUGACUUACAGAGAAGAUCUGUGAGAAUCAGGACGAGGCAGGGAGGAAACCUCAGUCUGAACCUCCCGUGUACAGAAUGUACAAGGCAGAUUAACAGACCAGCCCGGAACAGGAGUGAGAAGGCAAAAUAAGGCUGCCUGACUCCAUCGGGGCGCUGGCGGUGAUGGCUUUGUUCGGGUACCUGUCAUUUCGACAGUGGGGGAGAUUGGGGAGCAUGAAGACUGAGGGGGGGGGCUGCUGUGCAGAGGGUGGUCUUGGACCCCCGAGAGAAUUUCUUUCAAAUUCACCCCAAUGAAGCAGGGCGCCUCUUGGAAUUUCACGCUGGUGCGCCUGCGCAGCCAGCGCGAUGGUUUGGGGAGCCCCUCGAGGGAGACUGUACCUCUUUCCCUCGGCCCCCCAGAGCCGUGUGCCGGGAGCGGAGCGUCCAGCUUCCUGCCCAAGUCUCUCCAAAGAGAGAUAUUUACAAAUGCACUGGACUGGUCUGAGUCGCUCAAAAUGGGGCGUUUUCAGUUCCUUUUUAGAGGAAAUAAGCACAGUCCCCUGGCCCUGGAAGGGGCGGAGCAUCUGCCCCUUGGCCGUCUGUGGGUUCUACCCCCACUUUACGUGGCUGUCUAUGCAGGGAAUAAUCCCCUUGGAAGAGGGAGAAUUCCAACACCUCUGAGCCCGGCCAGCUCUCCCACCCACACCCUCCCUCCACCUAAUCCUCGGGACAGCCAGGCCAGCACCCGACGCCCCGACCUCCAACCAAGAGAAGCAGUGAUUCUUUGUUCCUUGAAGCCACAAAAAGCCAUUUUGCUACUCCCCUUCCUUAGAGCAGAAAAUCUGGAGUUACUAGCUAACCUGAAGCUGCCCAAACGUAAAUUAUUGACAGUUUCCCUGGAAGAGGGAGAAGAAAAUUACCCGAAGCCCGCAGAAUUCUCUUGUUCAAAGACCAGCUCUAAAAUAAGGGACGUGGGAUGGAACUUUCCACGUCCUGGUAAGUGUCUACACCCAGACACAGGGCGGCCCGCACCCCACUAGUAAAUACCCGCUUCUAGAAGGCACGGUGAGCCUUUCCUGGCCAGGAAACUCUCCGUUUCUUGGAAGCAAAGCAGCUUUGCUGUGGAGGGUGGGGGUCUAAGGAGAGUUCCCAGGUCUGUUCUGAGGGGCUCCUGUCCCCAGAGGGCGCAGGAAGAGGGCCAGGCCUCUGCCACCCAACGCUGGCGACGUCUUCCUGGUACAUGUGCCCCAAAUCGCUCAGCAGCCUUUCCCCUGAACAAAACCAAAACGUCGUGGUUGUACUUUCACAGGUGUAUGUGUGCAGUGUAUACACACACACACAUAAUAUACACUAGAUUUACACACACACACAUUAUACACUAGAUUUACAGAAUAUUGGGGACGAUGGCAGAGUGCCCACACACCCAGCACCCAGGUCUCCUAUCAUUAGCAUCUUACACGAGGAAGCCGCAUCCGUCACCAUUAAUGAAUAAGAUCCACAUGCUAUUGCUAAUGAAAGUUCAACCUUUAUUCAGAUUUCCUAAAUUCUCCCCUUAGCUUCUCAUAGACCUCUUUUCCCUGACUUUGCCUUUAGGGAUCGUGUCUCCUGCAGGGCCUCUGGCUGUGACGGCGUCCCUCCCGUGCUCCGACCACCGGGCCAGUUCUGAGGAGCAUGGCCGAGUAUUUUGCGGGCUGCCCCGGGGCUGGGCUGGCUGACAUUUCUCUCAUGGUUAAACUGGGAACAUGGACUUGGGGGCGGCCGACCACAGAGGUCAAUGCCAUUCUCUCCAUCCCAUCAAGAGCACAUCCCAUCAACGGGACACCGCGGCUGAUGCGGACCUUGACCCGGCUGAGGUCACCUUCAGCAGGCUUCUCCUUUGUGAGUGACUCUUUCCCCCUUUCCCACCCCCUGCUCUUUGGUGGGAGGUGGGUUUGAGGAACGACCUGGGAGGGAGAGCUGGCCUGAGAACACUGGCUGCCCCAGGACUCUGCCGCCCCCUCUGUCCCCAGCCAGCCACCAGCCUCCGCUCCUGCCUCGGGGGAGUGUGGCUCCCCCAAGCCCUCUGCCCCUCUGUGCACAAAACCAUGGUCCUUGUCCCCUCACCUGCCAGGGCCUCGUGUAGCCCCAGUGGGCAGGGUACGGCACCCCUGCCUCACCCUAGAUGUAUGUGGAUCAAGGGCAGACGGACCUGAGGUUGGAGGGGCUCCACCCCGAUGCUGGAGAGGAAGACUCCCCGAAUUCUCCCAGUCUUUGGAAGCAGGCUGGUUCCCAUGGAUGGCUCUGCUCCACCUCCGAGGGUAAUGUUUUCUUCCUGGUGGAGAUGUGUCCACCCCCCACCCCCGCCAUUUAUUUACUCAGUCAUUGUUCCUGUAUCAGAAUGGAUGCACGGAUGUUUAUUCCACACGCUGGGCUGGGUCGCAAAGGGUACUUUAGUUUGUUGCUCAAUUGUUCCCGCUUUGGUCACUGGUGACUCUUUUACCCCUCCCCCGUGCGUUUUGACCAAGCCCAUCGACUGGACCACCCCUGACUCCCCAGCGCCCCAGGAUGCCCCCGGCUCAUCUGAUAUGUUUCCUGCCCUGGUCCUACUUCUCCCAAAGGACCUCUGGCUCCUUUCACUGGAGGAUGGUCUUAGAAAUCAAGAGCUGGGGAGUUCCCUGGUGGCCUAGAGUUUGGAGAUCCAGUGUUGUCACUGCUGUGGCGCGGGUUCAGUCCCUGGUCCAGGAACUUCCACAUGCCCCAAGUGUGGAAAAAAAGAAGGAAGGAAGGAGGGAAUCAAGAAAUCAAAGUCUGGCACUAUGUGUGCUCAUUGGUACUAAGCUCCAGGGAGAAGAGUCAGCUCCAUGAAUCCAUCACUUCAGCUCAUUUUCUUCCAGCUCAAGCCUGGCUCCCUCACUUCCUGCAGACUACAGUGAGGCUCGGCUUCUUUUCAGACGCUCCGGCCACUUGUACUUCCUCUUCUGUAGGUCGCCUGUUUAUAUUCAUCGCCCAUUUUUAUAUUGGGAUUUUGUUUUCUCAUACCAAAUCUCAAGCAUUCAUCAGAGAGGAAAUAAACCGCCAUAGUUGCAGGUAUUAUGAAUUUUUUUCUCCUGCCACCUAUCAACUUUGAUUAAGGUAUAUUUUCCCAUGUAGACAUUUCCUUUUUUUCUUUUUUUUAAUCAAAUCUAUGCAUCUUUUUUUUUCUUUUUUAAUGCUCUCUGGGUUUCCUGUCUAUUUAAAAAGCAAUCUCUAUUUGUCCUCCUAAAUUUGAUCCUACUCUUUUUAUUGUCAUGUCCUCGUCCUCACUUUCUAACGGAGCUAAGGCAGGAAGCAGGGGCUGAGAAAGGAGGGAUCCCUGAAUUCUACGCCUUAGGUCUCUUCUGCUUGUAUUCUCCCUUCUGACUUAAUUUUUUCUUGUCUUCCAUCAAUCUCCUCUAAAAUAUUAGCAACCCGCAGAAGUAAAACCUCAAGGCUUUUUCCAGCCAAUCAGGCUAGAGUUCAUCAGCGUCCCAAGGACAAACGUCCUGGGAAAGAUAAAAAGCCAGAAACAGAGAGAAGGUGGAAGAAAGGAGAGGAGGGAUGGUUGCAUGCACUCGUACUUUGAUCCAAGCGUCAGAAACAGAUUGGAAGCUUCCAGCAGCAGAGCCUAGAAAGACUCAAGACUCAAGCGACAGGGUGGCCCUUGUCCCCCAGGGGUUUAUCGUGGCAUAAAGGAAACUGAAGCCCACCCAGAAACAGGAGAGGACAGGGCAGAGCAUCCGGGGUCUGGACGCAGGGCAGAGAAAGAAGGAGGUCGCUUCUCUUGGGUGAUCAGAGGAGACUUCAGAGAGGGGGUGAGUUGAAGGUGACUUUUCAGUAAUGGCUAGAAUUUUAUCAGGUAAAAGAGGAGGGAUUUCAGAAGAACAUGGCAUAGGCAAGGACAGAAAUGUGGGAAGGAAGCGAGAGCACUUUUAGAGAAGGGACUAAUCUCGUCUGACCAAAAAAAAAAAAAAAGACAUGUAGAGGUAAAAAAUAAUAAUAAUAAUUUUUAAACAUUUAAAGGUUUUUAAAAACUUUUAACAAUUAAAAUUUUUUUUAAUGUCUUAAAGUACAUACAGAGAAAGAGUAAGAGAUGAGCUGGAAAGGCCACUUGAGUCCGGCACUCAGGAGGCUGAGAGGUCUGGCCCUGACCCUGCAGGCAGUGGGGGCACAGGUGCAGGCGCAGAGCCACUGGCCUGGGUCAGCCCUCUGCUGGAGCCCGCCCUGCCAAGAAGAGAGGGGCACGGUAAGGCUCCCAACUCCAUCUGACCUUAAAAUCACCCAGGAUCAUCUUUAAAAAUGACCAGAUGAUCGAUCAUAGUUAACAUACUCAGUGGGUCCCACCACAAAUCUCUAGAAUCCAAAACUCCUGGUGAUUUUAAUGACAUGCCAUUUGGAAAACUUCUACUUCUGGCUAAAUCAUUCCCCAAAGAAAGCAUAACGAUAUCUGCAGGAAUCCUUGGAAAUUAUUCAUGCCCCACCACUUCCUCUAGUCUGUCUUGUCUGUGCAAAUGCAGCUAGUCCACAGCAGAGAUCUGCAGCUUGGCUGUCCAGCAACUCCUUUCUCCUAUAACCAUCCCCAGAUCCCUACAGAUCACCUGCUGCCCCAUUCUCAGCCCACUGGCUUUGGGUAGAGGCAGCUGGCAGGGAGUGGAUCGUAUGACCUGGGUUAGCCAAUCAGUAGAUGAUACACUCUCCUGGCCGUAUGAUUGGUUCAGGGGCAGGCUGUUGGCCCAAUCAGAGGCUCUGAGGCUUUGCUUGGGAAUCGUAAGCCAAUCAUCUUCGCUUUUUGAAUCCAGCAUUCCCCCCCCCACACACACACACACCUUGAGAGCAGCUGGCAGCCGUCCUGCAAAGGGAGAGCCCUGACUCAGAAAAGAAGUCACACCAGGGCUGGGCUCUAUCACCUGAGGCUUGAAUACAAUCUCACCUCAAGCCACACCCCGUGUACUCUGGACUCCUUGGUUACACCAGCCGGCAUAUUCCGUUUUGCUAAGCCUAUUUAGAUCAGGCUUCAUGCCAGUUGCAACUGAAUUAUCACUGAUAGAAGGUACAGAGUCUUUCAAGUACAAGGAAAGCAGGUACCCUUAGUCAUCUUCAAAGGAAGCUGUCCUCCUGAGACAGAGGCAGACUGCUGGCACCUUGAGCUCAUUUCAAAAAUUCUUUUGGAAGCUUCUAGAGACAGCAACGAAAAUGGUUUCUUUGUUAGGCCAAAGAACCUCUCUCUUGAUGAUGCAAUAAUUCCAUCUCCCUGUGUGUGGUGACUGGGCAAUGUGUUUAAAGGACACACGGUAAAAAUCUUCUUUAUAUUAUCUAAGCAUAAAGAGUUCUGCAAAAAUCAGGAAGAACUGUGCUGGCUGGGACCUGGAAAGUCAGUUCCUGGGUGUCCUCCUAAGGGGUCUAUCAGUGUGACUGAUGGUUUAUGUGAACAUAUGUCAGACACAGCACCUGCUAACAGGACACAAGUCUGUUUGCUUUUCCCUUUGAGACUUUGCAAAGCAACAAACCUGGGAGAAACUUUUUGAAUUUCCAUGUCACAGGUGAGGAAAAGAGGAAGGAAGAAAAAGAAAAACGAGAGAGAAAGGACCCAGACAGGAGAGUCUGGGAGUCAUUUUCUCUGUUCUAAUUCUGGCAGCGAGCCCCUUCCUUUCCCCAGACCACCUCAAGGAGAGUUCACCGGACAUGUAGGUGCAGAUAAAUAGCCUGCCCUCUGACAGGCUUCUGGCAAAAAGACUUUCAUUUUUGUGUUUAAAUUUCAGGACUAAGGAGACUGAUGCUUUAUUAUCCAAAAAAACUCACCUGCCCAGACUUGGUACUUUCUGACAAAUAACCUAAGACAAACCCAUGUCGUAUUACUGUCUGGACUCUAAAGAGUAUUUUGAAGCCCCUUCGAGUGGUAUCUGCACUGUAAGAAAAAGAGCAGUGAGGGUUAUUCCCAGGCUAACAUCAGCGGUGAAUUUCCCUGAAGGCUCUCUGUAACCAUGCAGUGUUCCCCCCGACACCCUGAAGGGCCGCUGUGAAGGCCAGCGAGUACCACCAAGGUUCAAUCCCUGACACCCUCACCAACCUUCAGGACUGAGAAACGUGUGUUCGGCUUGCUGAACAUUUCAAAAGCCUCUACCUCUUCCAAGGGAGCGAGCCGGGGAGAAAAGCAUUGAUACCAGGACCAGAAUCGAAGGAUAGAUUCUACAAACUCCAAACCAAAUCCUUUGUCCAUCGAGUCAUCCAUUCAACAAAUACGGGUUGAGGUCCUCCUGGGUGCCAGCCCCAGUCUCGCGCUGGAGGUAAAACACCAAGCAGGCCAGUUAAGUCCCAAGGAACUUCCACAUUCGAGAGAAGGAGGAUGAUAAAAACAGGUGAAAAAUGCCUGGGUACUGGAAUAGCAAUAGCCUAGCACGUUAGGCAAAACUAAAGCCGAGCGGGGACGUUGGGGUCGAGAGAGGUCAUAGGCCUGGAGUGCUCAGGUGAUGCGAAGAAAGGCCCCAGUGUGGCGGUUCUGAGCCGAGCAGCCCAGGGGGAGGAAGGGGCCAAAGCCUGCGGGCGGUGGGGGCCAGGUUUGGAGGCUGAUGCGAUGGUGGGGCAGGAGGUGAGAGCAGAGAGCUGCCCGAGACCCCCUGAGGGAGCUCACAGAUCCUCAUAGGCGUGGAAAGGAGAGUGGGUUCUAAUGGAACCAUGACCAGAAGCCGCGAGGGGGUCUAAGCAGGGAAGUAAAGGGAUUUGUGUUGCGCUCUGGGGGCCUGCGAGGCAUGGAUGGUAGGAAGUGAAAGCAGAAGCGAGGAAGCCGGCGGGGAGCCUGUCCAGUGAUGUCACUGGGGCUGCCCGCCGUCCGUGCUCUCAGCUCUCCCCCCGGGCAGCAGGCACCUGGGAAGCAGUGGUCCAGGGGAUGGAUGCAAAAUCCUGGUCUCAGGGGAGCUUGCAGCCUCCCGGUGAGGCAGAGAGGUAACACUUAGCUAGGGCACAGCAUGGGAGGCGAUGGGGGACCUGGGCUGGAGAAGCGGCGGCGGAAGGACGUCCCAGGUGGAGGCCUGGAGGGCCGGGCGCCCUGCCGGGAGGGUGGGUGUGAACUGCUGUCCCUGUAGGAGGGAGCAGCACCCAGGGGCGCGCUGGCUGCCUGGCGCGGCUGCCUGCCGCCUUUGUUAAGGGGUUGGGUGCCCUCCCCCGCGGGUCUGCCAAGCCGCCCCCAGCCUUCUGCGGGGCACACACAGCAAGUCCCCCCUCCCCCGCCCCCUGCCAGCCAUCUGUGCUGGAGGCAGGAGUGGGCCCGCUGCCACGGGGAGGCACUGAGUCAACGCCCUUUCCCGGAACCCACCUCAGGUCCUUCCCACACCUGCAGGAAUGAGGCAGGGCCGGAGGGGGCCCAGAAGCGGCAGGAUGCGGGGUCAGGCGCAGGUGGGUAGAGGGGCCCAGGACCAGCCAGGCGCACUCACCACCCCAGAGCCCGGCCGCACAGACUGGGGGCCCAGGCCCAGAUGUUCAGAUGGGACAGUCCAAGGUGGGGUGUGGGUCUGGCAUCUGUCACAGGCUCCAGGGGCCAUGGGUGGGAGAUGUCCCAGCUCAUCCCCAAGGCCCACUCACUGCUCUCUCUAUAUGAAGCCGGGUCGGGGCUGGCAGGGAGCCAUGUCAGCAGAACCGCGACUCAGGAGGGCCAGACCCCGGGCUGCGGGCAUUAUGGGCCUAAUCUCUUUUAAUCCUCACCCAGCCCUGUGAGCUGACACCAUUAUUCUGCCUAUUUCACAGCUGAGGCUUAGAAGAGGGGGUAACCCGGCCAAGGUCUCCCGGCUCACACGUGGGACCUGCACUUGGCUGUCUGCCUCCAGCGCCCCAGCCAUAAGGGACAUCUCUGGGCUAAAGGCUGACGGGCUGACUAGAACCUGUUACGAGCUGACAGCCAGAGAAGAGGCCAAGAAACACAAUAUACACCCAUGCAUUCCAGGGUUUCACCACAAAGGAGGGUGGACACGCAGCUGUAACCGGUCCCAGAAGACUCGGGAAUGGCACAGCUUCUGAACCAGCCAAGGUGAAAGACAGCUGUGAUGAAAAAAGAAAGUUGAGGCAUUCCUGUUGUGGCUCAGUGGGUUACGACUCUGACAUGGUGUCUGUGAGGACCCAGGUUCAAUCCCU